UGACAAAUUACUCGACCUACAGCUAGCAGUUUGCCGAGUAUUUCUGGAAUUAGUCAAGUGAAAACCAGGGAAUUUAUUCAGUGAAUUCAUAUCUAUACGUAGUUUGUUAGUUUUACAAUUCAUAGUUGUUACAUACAUCUGAGACAUACAUUUUGCAAAAACAUAUUCUUUCAUGAUUACGGAAAGUGUACAGUUUUGUCCGAUUCUGUUUCCGAAGAUUAAAACUUUGUGAUUAUUGACCUUAACCUUUCUGUUGGUUGAUCAGUUGUUCUGAUUGAUUUAUGCGUUUUAUUUAUUCUCACGAACAACUUUUAAAAACUUUAAUAAACUCUAUAAUCUAACAUGUACAUACAUAACGUAUUGACUGAGUGAAAGUCAUUACUUUAUAUUCUGCAUUUGUUAAUAAUAUUAGGAAAAGGGCGUUCACUAUUCUUUCCGUGUAUUUAAAUUGUAUUUUGCCAGAACCUUUUCGUGCUGUUUAAAAUAUCAAUAUUCUUUGAAAAGCUGUUUGUUGAAAAACAGAUUUUUGGCUUGCGUUAUCUUUCUUGCAUUUUUACAGUCUGAUUUUUACAUUAAAAUUUUGAUAACUUCAAUAUACUAAAAAUACAAAUUAGGUUUCGGAUGCAUAAAAUAUCCUUUAAAACACGUGAUCGUAAUAUUUAAUGAAAACAGGAGAUUGCUACAUCAUAUAUAAUAUAAUAUAUAUUAGAGUUUAGAUCUGUAUACAUUUGACCUAGAUAAUUACAUCUGUACUAUUUUCAUUGUUUAUCAAAGCACUUAAACGAUCCUAACUGUUAAACCACAUUUCCGUAUGUUAUCUCACUUCAAUCUUUAAUUAUAUAAUUUACAAUCGAUAAUUACAACUUCAUCCUAUGUCAGUAAUCGUUCAGCAUUGCACGUUUGGAGCAAAAGUGAGUCUUUGUUUUAUACAAUCUAAUUCAAUUAUAUAUUACUCAUGAAUCAAUUAAAUGUCUUUAACUUAUUGAACAAUAUUUUUCCCUUCAUAGUUCCAAUGAAUCGUUGAACCAAGAGUUUCAAAUGGUAAAGUUAGAUUCACUCUUUCGAAAAUAUUUAGGACACAAUCACGAGUUGGUUGACGUUAUGUUAAAUUUAUAAAUAUACAUCAUUGAUUUAGUAAGAUUAACUAUUUUCUUUUGUCAUGUUAAAAUUAACGCACUUAACAGACGUAACUUCUCUUGAACUGAAUUUUAAUGUGCGUAUUGUUAUGCGUUUACUUUUCUACAUUAGCUAGAGGUAAAGGGUAGGGUUGAGAUCUCAUAAACAUGUUUAACCCCGCGGCAUUUUUGUACCUUUCCCAAGUCAGGAGUCUCUGGACUUUGCUAUUCUUGUAUUAUUUUUAAUUUUAGUUUCUUGUAUAUAAUUUGGUGUUUGUUAUGGCGUUCAUAAUCACUGAAGUAGUACAUAUAUUUGUUUAGGGGGUAACUGAAGGACGCCUCCGGAUGCGGUAAUUUCUCUCCGCAUUGAAGACCUAUCGGUGACCUUCUGCUGCUGUCUGCUCUAUGGUCUGGUUGUUGUCUAUUUGACACAUUCCCCACUUCAAUUCUCAAUUUUAUGUUAAAGCAAAGUAUGUUGUUGAUUUACUCGGAAGAAACUUCCUUCCAGCUUUUACAUCUGUCCUCAGGCUUUAGUCUAACACAAAUAAUAAAAACACCAUACAAUAUUUAUUCAUUAUCAAACAAUACACAUUUGGAACAAACUUUAGAUUUCGUUUACUUUCACAGAUGACGACAGAUAUGUUUCAAUCAUCGUCAAUACAAUUUAGUUCUUCUUUUCAUCGAAUGUGACCUACCGAAUUAGAUUUAUCUUCAUAUCUGUAUUUGCAGGAGCAAGACAGUAGGUGCAUAAAAAAAGAUAAGUUUAACUAUCUAAAGCUUCAAAGUUCAUCCUCUAUUCUGAGUGGGGUUUGUGUUUCUCAGUCAUUAGUUUAUUAUGUUGUUGGUUAUGAAUCAUUCUUUGUCUUGAAGUUGUAUUUUGUUUUUUACCAUGGCCUUUUCAGUGUGUUUCGAUUUUUUCGAUUGAAUAUUUGUUUGGUAUCUGUGGCUCUUUUUUAUAAUACAAUAUUUAAACAUUGCAAUCAAUAAGUGUUUAUGCAUAUCAUUUAAUAGAGUGAAACAUUUUGUCGAGAAUUUAAUUUUACUAUAGCUAGCCCUAACAAAACAAAACCAACAAACAAACAAUUAAAUAAAGUGAAAUAAAAAUUCAUUUUCUUACAUUCAUAUACGAUUAAAUUGAUAUUAAACGAUUAUAAUUAUUAAUAAUGCAACCUAGUUAUUCUAUUCAUACAUGUACUCAUAAUAAAAAGAUAUAUAUAGUUACAUAAAUUUGUAUUUUGUUGUUAUUUUCUCUCCCGACAAUAUCUGAAAAUCAUAUAAAAAAUAGUAUUUUAACUCCUAUUAUCAUAACACAUAUUUAAUUCUUACAUAUAUACAUAUAUACAUAUAUACGUAUAUAUGCAUAUAUAAACGAGUCUAAAUUGAAAACUACGUUCAAACCUGAUUGCGUUGACGCAUAUGAGGCAUCUUUAGCCCACCAGUAUCAUAUGAUUCAAUUAGUACAUUUCUUUUGAUUUUAUCUGGUUUGUCAUUCCAUAGAAACUUUAAAAAAAUAUUUUCGGUUUUCUUAAAAUUUUCAAAAGAGGGAUUUGGCAAUAUUGUUAAUGAUAAACUCAUCAUAGAUACCAGGACUAAAUAUUGUAUAUACGCCUGACGCGCGUUUCGUCUACAAAAGACUCAUCAGUGACGCUCGAAUCCAAAAAAGUUAAAAAGGCCAAAUAAAAUACGAAGUUGAAGAGCAAUGAGGACCAAAAUUCCUAAAAGUUUUGCCAAAUCCAGCUAAGGUAAUCUAUGUCUGACGUAGAAAAGCCUUAGUAUUUCAAAAAUUCUAAAUUUUGUAAACAGUUGAAUGACUGAAUGAGAAUUGGCAAUGCUAAAGACUUUCUGACUGUAAUUUGUCCUAGAUAUGUAAGAUCUUGGUAAAUCCAAGUAUUUAAUAAUGCCUUUAUCUUUUCACUUUUCUCUUCGAAAUUAUGGGCAGUCUUGUCGACAGCAAAAAGAUCAUAGUUUAUACCUAAGAGUUUAAAUUCCCCUGUCUGAAUAUAGCUAGCCUUAAUUCAAUUAUUUUAAACACUACUUUUUUUUACUUAACAAACCAUUUCAUUAGAGGAUUAUGGCAGACAAGUAGCAAGAAUAUGGAAAAGAAGACGAACAUUUUGAAACUGUAUUUGUCUCUGAAGCUGUUUGUACUAUCGAGAAAACAAGCCCACCUCGUUUCGAUGCCUUUUAUAGCCGACUAUGCGGUAUGGACUUUGCUCAAUGUUGAACGACGUACGAUGACCUGUAAAUGUUAAUUAUUGUGCCAUUUGGUCUCUUUAGGAGAGUUGUCUCAUUGACAAUCAUACCACAUCUUCUAUUAUAAAACAUGUGUAAAAUCCUUGUAUUUUUUGUUCAAAGUUAAAAAAUGUAUAUAUAUAUACUGACAGACAUUAAAACACAAGACAAAUUUUUUUUUCAUCAAAUCUAAAAGACUAAUAGUAAUUUCAUUGCUAAUCAUGCUUCAUGUACUCCUUCUUGAAUAGAAAAAUCAAUUCCUAAAGUUCCUCAAACAAUAAAACAUCGCGAGACCUUGACGUCGCACGAAUAUCCUGACUCGAAAGUAGAAGCUCAUACAUGAUUUGUUUUUAAAUUCUUCGUAAAAAUUGAAAUAAUUUGACAUAAUUUAAUAAAACUUUUCAUGAAGUACAAUAUCGGAUGAGCAAUUUCAAUCUCUAUUUUCCUCAGCAAACAACAUCAGCGACAGCGAAUUCUAUAAUCAAAAUCAUAUGUCCGACUCACCGGAAAAUUACCCUGAAUGUAGAGACAUCCUUAUCACAAACAACGGAAUAGAAAAUUAAUUGAGAAACCUUAACCCACACAAAGCCACUGGACCGGUUAACAUCAGACCAAUUAUACUCAAAGGACUUGCCAGUGAAAUCGCUCCCAAACUUACCAUCAUAUUCAAUAUUUCAAUGGAGACAGGCAAAGUUCCAGAUGACGAGAGGACAGCAACAGUCACUUCAGCAUUAAAAAGGGUCAAACGUAUAUUUCGGCAAAUUACAGACCAAUAUCUCUUUCAUGUUUUUGCUGCAAGAUCAUCGAACAUAUUGUUACCAGCUACAUUAUGAAACAGGAAAACAAGUAAAGGGAACAGUAGUAUACCACUAUUCGAAAUUCAUAAUCGAUCGAGAAAAAAAUCCGGGUUACAAACUUAAACUGAGGGAAAUGCAUCAAAUAUGAAAGGAAGACUACGACAUAACAGACACACAACAUUAAAAUGCAACAUACACAGAAACGAACUAUAAUAUAACAAUGGCCAUUUUCCUGACUUGGUACAGGACAUUUUUAGAAACAAAAAUGGUGGGUUGAACUUGGUUUUAUGGCAAACCAAACCUCCCCUUUAAUGGCAAUGUUAAAUAUAAUAUUAAAAUGACAACAUUAUCUGACAGGACUAUAAAACAAAUAGAUUGGAGAAAAUAUAGGACAAUGAAACACAUGAAUAAUAGCUAACAAAAGGUAUCGCGUUUAAAAUUUCAUACUGCAGACGUGCGUUUCGUCCACACAAGACUAACCAGUAUCGGUCAGAUGAAUAAAGUUCGAAAGCCAAAUCAAGUUAAAAGUUGAAUAGCACUGAAGACGAAAAGUUCCAAAAAGUUCUGACCAAUACGGCUAAGAUUUUCAGCCUGGGAUAUAACCAUCCUUAUAAUUUACAAUAAUUCACACUUUUGCAAACAGUAAAUUGUAUAACAACAUCCUUUAUUCACUACAAAAAUUUGAAAAACAACACAUUGAAUAAUUUCUUGCGUUCGAAGCGCUAUUCUGGAUUUACCUUCAUCAGGAACGCUCAAAGCCUAACAUUUGAAAUCAGAAGAUUUAUACGACGUACCGAAACCACUGAAAAGAUAUCUGUCAAAAAUACCUAAAAUAAAUCGCCAAAUUGAUCUACAGUCAACUUUGGCUUGGGGAGUUGAAACCUAGUUUCUUGAUAAUUUCAAUAUCUAUAAACAGCCAAAUUUAGUAAAGUUUGUUAAAUCAUGGCAGUACCAAAGUACUAACUACUGAGCUGAUGAUACACCGUCUACAACAUAGAUUUCGAAGUAAACGAUCAUGCGAGACGCAACUCUUAGAAUGCAUUGAUGACCUAUCAAAGUGCCUUGAACUCGGAAAACAGUCUGAUCUACUGUUACUAUACUUUUCAAAGGCAUUUGCUAAGAUAUCCCAUAGCCUACGCCUACCAACCUCAAUCACUACGGAAUCAGGAGAAAGAGGUUUUUAAUAAUUGAUAAGACGGAAAUUCGAAUCAGCUCGGAUAACACAUUUUUUUCAAUCUUAGCCAAACAAAAAGAAGUCGUUUAAUUCCUGCAAAAUAUUGCUUAAAUAUUUUUUGGAUUAUAAAUCUUAAAAAUCGCAUACUUUUGUCAAAUUUGCAUUCUUUUUAUGUGAAUAAGUCAAUAGUGUGCUGUCCCAAUGAUAAUUGUACUCGAAUUUAUAAGGAAAAACAGUAAUAUUCAGUAUUGAACGAGUACCCAAAGGGACGAAUUGACAUAUCAUAAUUAUAUAUUGGUUUCUCUCCCCAGACUACAAAAUGCCCUGUCAUCAAUAUUUGACGCAAUGAAAAUUCAAGUGCAAUCUUUGUGCUAAAUGAGAUUAUCUAUAAGCAUAAGCUGGUACUAGGAUGGAUGUUCAGAUCAUAUCUUCUAGAAAGGAGGGACGAAAGAUACAAAAGGGACAGUCAAACUCAUUAUAAUAUCUAGAAUAGAGCCCUUUAUGCAUGAAAAAAGACACAAAGUUAAGUAUCAAUGGAUGAGGAUUAAAACCAUAUAAGUUCAUGUUUGAAUCCAUUUCCUUAGAUCGGAUAUCUCAAACCUUAUACAAAUGAUUUUUUUUCUAAAUGAUGCCACAAGACACUUCAGUCAGUAUAGUCGUUCCAGAACUCAUAAUGAUCAGUACAUUGAUGUUUUUUUUUUAAAUUUGAAAGCAUUUCAUGUAUGAAUAGUAAUUCUCUACCUUUUCAUCUCUUGCUUAUUGCUCCUUAGAAAAAGUAGUUCCUUAAUUAAGUGCUUGGAUGUGUCUACAGUUUAAAGUUUAUUGGAUAUGUUUGCCUCAUUCUCACAGCCAAACGUAAACAAUAAAGGCAACAGUAGUAUACCGCUGUUCAAAACUCAUAAAUACAUGGACAAAUAACAAAAUAGGGGUAACAAACUAAAACUGAGGAAAACAACAUAAAUGCUUGAUCACUGUUUAAAUUACUACUUUUUUUAAACGCACAAAUGACUUUCAAUACAUGUGUAAGAGUUGUCUCCCAUAUAUAUGGUCUGCCCCUUAAACAUUUAAAAGGAGUGUUAUCGUGGUAAACAUAAGCAACGUUUAGGUGUAAUUGUGUUUUUUAAAAAAAUCUUUAUUUUCAGUAUUGAAUGCGUGUUUUAUUUGCGAUAUGCUCAAAGUUUUCUAGAUACAUUUUUUUCAAAAGGAAUGCCGUUUUACAGGAUAAAAUAUAAACUCUCAUUGCUAUUGCAGGAAUGUAAUAUAUGUACCCUGUACGUUUGUUCGUACCUUUCGUCGAAAUGUAAGAAAGCUAUAAUGUGAUUGUUUACAUUACGUGUUCUGAAAGUAGAAAUUUUUAAUAAAUGAUAUACGUACGUAACUCGACGUAGAGACCUAAUCGGACUGGUUAUGGCCAACCAUGGAAUUUGAUUAAAUAUUUUCCUCUAGAUAAAACAAAGUAUUCCUAGAAUUUAACAAUCACAUACUGGAAUUUUUGUCCGUAUUAAUUUAUUCUCUCAUGACAAACAAAAAUAGCAGUCUAGCAUUAUAUUUAUCACGUGGUUUUCUAGCUUCUCGCUUAUUUUCACUGAAAUAAAAUAGGCCGAUGUAUGGUCAGAUAAGUUCGUUACGCCAAGUAAUGUCAUUUUAUUUGAAAUCUCUAGCUAGGGUAGACUUACUUUUCUGUUAUAUUUCUAUUAUAAAUUAGAAAAUACGUUGAACCACAAACGUCAAAAUUAUUUAAUCGCGUAGUGGAAUUAAAUAUUUGUGGAUUCUUAUCAAUUCUAUAGAACUUUUGGACUAUUUUAAAUCUCAGUCUAUUUCUGAAAUUAAUUCUAACAUACUUUUAUUUUUUUAACCCUGUAUGCCAACAUUGCCCAUGUGAAAUUUCAAAAUUGUUUUGUAUAAACAUUGAACAACAAAAUAUCUUUCCUAUGUGUCGUAUAAAUUUUCUGACGUCAGACAUGCGAAGCAAUAAAUGUGUUUUUAAUGUUUAUAAUUUGAUAGAUGUUUUUGUGUUCUUCUUUUCAAUUGUUUCUUUUAAAAUUGUAACACGACAAUGACUGCUGUGCCCAUAUUUUGACUAUUGUUAUUUAUUAUAUCUAUUUAGUUCACGAAUCGUUGUAAAUAUAACGGAAUUUGAUGAGACUGUCGUACAAAGUGAGAGAUUGAGCGCUAUAAAACCAGGUUUAAUCCACCAUUUUCUACAUUUGAAAAUGCCUGUAGAGAGCCAAGAAUAUGACGGUUGUUGUCUAUUCCUUUUUUAUGUGUUUUGUUAUUUGAUUUUGCAAAGUGAUAAGGGACUUUCCGAUUUGAUUUUCCUCUGAGUUCAGUAUUUUUGUGAUUUUUUUCUAAUUGCAUGGAAAUCUAUAAUGUUAAUGAAAAAUGUCCACUAUUAUAGAUAUUGUACAACAUGAGAGUCACUUGGCUGGAUCUGUAUUGGAAACUACUGCUCAUAAUUACUUUGACUAAAAGCAGCACAUGUGAGUACAACUAAUCUGUAUUUACGAAUCAAUUUAAAAAUGCAUCAUACAUAUGCCACCAUACAAGUUUUGUAUAAAUGAAAGACGACAAUAAGGUAACAAUUUGUUUCAAUUUUAGAACCGUUGAUUACAUUUAGACGUUAACAAAAUCUUUUGUGGGUCCACUUUAAUGUGGUAUAAACUAUUUUGAAUUAUGAAACGUUGCAUGUUUUUCUUUUAUUCAUCUUUAUCUUCAAACAUAUCUGAUGAAGUUAGUCUACAUUGGUCGUUUUAGAAUUUAAUUAACGGAUGAUGCAGAUUUAUUAUUAUAACAAGACUGGAAUGUAAUUACUAUGAAAUUAGUACUUUUUAUAUCUUUUAUUAUUAUUUAAUAUCAUCACCAUGCAGGCUUGCUCUUAAUAUCGAUAUUGUUAAUACAGUACUUCUGUUGCUUGGGCCCUACGUCAAUCACUCUUGUAUUAUGUCAAACGUAUCUGUUUGGAAUCAUAUAAUCAAUAAGAAGCACCCAAUAUAUACAAACUGAUUAUCAGAAAGACACCCAUAAGAUUGAACAAAAUGUCGCCACAUAAACGUACACAUGUACAUUAAAAUAAUUGUGUUGUAAGGUGAGUGUGGAAAUAUUAAAAAAAAAUUAAUAAUUUUGUUGUUCAUAGUAAGUGACAUAAAAAGAGUUAAAAUUCAUCGUCAUACCAAACAAUUAUCAUGUGUAUCAGGUGUAUAUAUUUAGAAUAGUGAGACGAUAAUAAUAUUAUGGUUUUGAUUUACUGAUAACAAAAUUGAUACAUAUAGCAUUUAAACUAUUAAAACAAUAUUCCGUUACAUAAUAAAAGUAAAGAAUGUGUAACCGUUUAGCAUAAUAGAAAUUUAAGAGAACACGAUGUUUAUAUGAUGCUAAGGGAACAUCGUGUAAAACUGAAACAUAUAAAUAAAGAAAAGGACAGUUAUCACUGAAAAUAUUUAAUUUUUAUAACUGUCAAAAAGUUCAUCCAGAUAACAGUAAGUGUUGUUGAAUUUAUCAAUUAAAUCGAAUUUAGACGAGUAUUUACUCAAUUUUCAUAAAUAAAGUAUAUCUAAUUUUAUAUAAUUACUAUUUUCUUGUGUAUGUGUUGUUUGACAUACAAUAAAAUUAACGGUACCAAUUUUCUUGCACAGAUGCCCAUUUCGACAAUACAUGUCUCUUCUGUGAUGCUCGUGGCCAAAAUAUUUGAAAUCCAAAGCUUAUAUAAAAGAUGAAGAGCUAUAAUGCAAAAGGUCCAAAAAGUAUAGCCAAAUCCGUGAAAGGAAUCAGAGCUUUGCAUGACGGAGAUACAUUCCUUAAUUUAUAAUAAUUUCUAUCAUUUUGUAACAGCAAAUUUUAAUAACACAAAAAAUCCGUAUUUUUCAUGCCAGUACCGAAGUACUGGCUACUUGGCUGGUGAUACCCUCGGGGACUAAUAGUCCACCUGCAGAGGCAUCGACCAAGUGGUAGUAAAAAAAUUAACGGUACCAAUUUUCUUGCACCAGAUGCGCAUUUCGACAAAUGUAUAGAAGUGAGGUCUAUGGUGGAACGCCACCGCUGUCUUAUGUGAAACUCUGAUAUUACGUUAUCUUGUGUUAUCAUUGAUAAUAGUUUGUCUUUACAUAAUAGGGUUUCGACAUUACGUAAUGAUGUUUUAAUAUAACUCUAUAUGGAAUAGUCAUUACUUAAUGAUAUUUCGAUAUUACAUGAUUUGGUUUCGUAUUGACUAGGCAUAGUUUUGUCAUUUCUUAAUAUGGUUUUGCCAUAACUCGAUGUGGUUUCAACAUUAUUUAAUGUGGUUGUGUCAUUAGGCAAUGUGGAUUUAACAUAACUUGAUGUGUUUGUGGACUUAACGUUAUGUAGUUGUUUUAUUACAUGAUAUGGUUUAAACAUACCGUAAUGAUGUUUCAAACUUUUACGCUACAUGAUGUGUUUGUUUCAGUUUUUGAUGUGGUCCUAUCAUUCUUUAAUGACGUUAUCCCAUUAAUUGAUAAGGUAAAACCACGUGACCAUUUCUAUUAGACCGAUUUCCACACGUUGUUUGUGUAGUGCGCUUUCAAUGAGUACCGCUUUCCAUAAAAUUAAAGUUCAAGAUGUUGUUCAGAGUUGUUUGAGAAAAAGAUACUAAAACAUUAACAGUAAUUCGGACUUAAGGGGAUAUCCAGAAACCUCUUGGUCCGCCGUUUGUUUCGUAAGUUCUCACAGGAUAGCAUGCACAGUAUCAUAAUAAAUUCGUAAAAGAUUCUAAGGAACCUUGUGUCCCGCCUAACAAUUCUGCUGUAAGUGUAAAAGCUUAAUGUUAACUGUACAUAAAUCGGUACAUUAAUUGGUAAAUUUAUUGGUCAAAACGAAAUUUAAAGAAAAAUGUUUUUCUAUAGAUGUUUUUAUCUUGAUCAUGAACAAUGACUCUUGUACAAGUUUUAUAACAAUUCGUGGAGGUAAACAAAUUUAUCAUGUCAAAACUGUAAUAUUUAAAUUGUGGUAAAAAUCUUAUAUUGAAAUAAAAACAUGUGAAUUCUCAACCACAUACCAAAUUUCGAGUUGAGUUACAUUUAAAGGUAGAGGUCCAAGUUACAGUUCGACUUCAAUUUUCAAUUGGAGUGACCUUUAGUUUAAGUUAUACCCUUACCAGAGUCUCAUUUAGAUUAAGAUUUGGCGUUGAAAUUCGAGUUAUCUAAAAUGAGUUCUAUUUUUUUUUUUAUCGCGGAUCAGUUUUUUGCUAGAGCUUCCGAAAAGACGGCUCAGAGGUAGGUAUGCGUACAAAAAAUAAACAAUGUUGCAGCAUACAAGACACACCACAGAACUUGAAAUAAAAUUUGAUGUGGUGUGAUUGCCAAUGAGACAAUUAUCCAUGUUUAAAUGCAGUGGAUGUAUGCAAUCAUAGGCAACCGUACAGGUUUCAACACCCUGUAUAGUCGGCUACAAAACACUUCCAUGUGAACAUGUGAAGCAAUUCAAACGAGAAAACUAACGGUCUCAUUUAUAAUUAAACAAUAUAUGAAAAAAAAUUAUAAUACACGAAACAACGACAAUCAUUGAACUUCAGGCUCCUGACUUUAGGCAGGCAUAUAAAGAUAGUGCACGCGGCGGCGUUUAACAUUUAUGUUUGCGCUAAACCCUUACAUAACCUCGGAUUGAAGUGUAACAGCACAACACAAGAAGAAAAUGUAAAGACAGUUUUGAUAGGGUCAACUCAAUGGAUCAGUAUGACUAGAAAAAAAGUGACUGUGGUAUGAUUGGUAUAGUUGCGUCGACGUCUUUAUCACUUAGAUCGUUAGGUUUCUCGUUUGAAUUGUUUUUACAUUUUUCAUUUUGGGACAUUUUUAAGCUUACUAUGUGGUUUAUGUUUUUCUCAUUGAUGAAGACAAUACAUGUUAUCGAAUUAAACCAUUUUGAUAUGAUAAAUUUGUAAACUUCCAUGAAUUGUUCUAAAUAAAGGCAACAGUAGUAUACCGCUGUUCAAAACUCAUAAAUCUAUGGACAAAUAACAAAAUCGGGGUAACAAACUAAAACUGAGGGAAACUCAUUAAAUAUUAGAGGAGAACAACGACACAACUUUAAAAUGUAACACACAUAGCAACGGACUAAGCAUUAGACAACAGCAGAUGAGAAUAACCAAUAUAACAUCAAAAACAAAUAUAUGAAUUUGGGAUAAAAAGUACCGUGACACGUCUUAUAGUAAUGUGAAUUCACACUAAAAAAUAGGAGAAAACAAACGACACAACGGAAACACAACGUAAAAAUGUUACACACACAGAAACGAACUAUGAUAUAACAAUGGCAUUUUCCUGACUUGGUACAGGACAUUUCUAAAGAAAAAAAGGUGGGUUGAACCUGGUUUUGUGGCAUGCCAAACCUCGCAAUUUGAUGGCAUUGUUAAAUAUAACAUUAAAAUGACAACAUAAUAAUACAGGACUACAAUACAAAUACAUAGCAGAACGUAUUACACAUGAAUAAUAGAUAACAAAAGGCAUCAGGUUUAAAAUUCAUUACGUCAAAAACGCGCCUCGUCCAAACAAGACUUACCAGUGACGCCCAGAUAUAAAAGUUCGAAAGUCAAAAAAAGGGGGACAAAGUUGUACAGCUCUGAGGAUCAAAAGUUGAAAAAGGUUGUGCCAAAUACGGCUAGGGUUAAACUUGUGUAGAAGUUAUUCUUCAAAGUCAAGAUAUAGCAAGGUUCAUUGAAUCUUUUACACAUUUAUUAAAAUACUGCUUCCAUUUGAGAACUAAGGAAAAAUUGGCAGGACCAAGUGAUUUCGGUGUAUUACCUUGUGUCCGAAUUACUGUAAAUAUCGUAGUACUUUUUUUCUAUAUUUUGUCUGUCCCUCAACUUUUUCAUACCAAAUAACUCUGAACAACAACUUAAUUGAACUUUAAUUUGCACUUUAAGUUAAUGCGGUUAAGAUAUCGGUAUUCAUCCAAAGCGCAUUGCACAAACGACAUAUGGAAAUCGGUCUAAAAAUAGAAUAAUUUUUUUUCCGAAAUGGUCACGUGGUUUUACCUCAUCAAGGAACGGUAUAACCACAUCAAAGAAUGACAGGACCACAUCAAAUACUGAAACAAACAUAUCAUGUAGUGUAAAAUCGUCAAAUUUUGAAACAUCAUUUCGUAAUGUUAAAGCCAUAUAAAGAAUUGAAAAAUCAUCAUAACGAAAUAACAAAACCACGUCAUGCAAUGAAACAACUACAUAAUGUUUGGUCACAUACACAUCAAGUUAUAUUAAAACCACAUUGCCUAAUGACACAACCACAUCAAAUAAUGGUGAAACCACAUCGAGCAAUGGCAAAACCAUAUUAAGUAAUGACAAAACUAUAUAAAGUCAAUACGAAACCAUAUCAUGUAAUAUCGAAAUAUCAUUACGUAAUGUCGAAACCAUAUUAUGUAAAGACACGCUAUCAUCAAGUUAGUGUAAAACAACAUAACGUAAUAUAAGAGUUCCACAUUAGACAGCUGCGGCGUUCCAUAGACGUCCCAAAAACUCUUUUAUAAUAUGGUAUUUAAAACAUACCAAUUUCUAAGCGUUGUGAAAAAAAAUGUAAGCUCUUUGUAAACAGUGGAUCAAGUUAAGAAAAUAAAAAAUAUCAUCAAUAACAAUAUCUCUUUUUUCUAUUCUAGUUGGUGUUUGUCCAGAUCCAAAGUGUAAAGGUGAACAAGGAUUACGAGGUAUAAUGGCAAGUGAUGUAUGAUCACGUACUACGUCGUUUAGUUUCGCAAAUCGAAGAGAAAAAUAACAUUAAAGAAAAUUACUGUAUGAUAUAAUUUUAUACUAAAGAAAG
rnacentral:lncRNA from 1 species